rnacentral:rRNA from 1 species
GAGAGUUAAACAGUACGUGAAAUUGUUGAAAGGGAAACGAUUGAAGUCAGUCAUGCUAGUGAAAAUUCAGUUUGACGGGUUUUGGGUUCAGGAGUAGAGGCAGGGUCAAACCGUUUCUCUUUUGGACUUGGGAUUUGUCAGAUGCACUUUUUCUUUGGCAGGUCAGCGUCGAUUUCGGAGGUUGUAAAAUAUCUGGGGGAAAGUAGCUCUGCUUCGGGAGAGUGUUAUAGACCUUGGGUGAUGCGGCCUGCGGGAUCGAGGAUUGCAGCAAAUGCUUUUGGCUUGUCGCCUGAUCUCUGGACGUCAUCUCGCUUGUAUCAACAUUCUUGGUACCGGUGAGUAAUGGUGCUCAUAGGUUAGAGCGAUCAAAAAUUUUGCUAAGGAUGCUGACGUAAUGGCUUUAAACGA